rnacentral:lncRNA from 1 species
AAUGGUUGUGUAUACCAACAACAUGACUUGGGAUAUCAUGAAAUCUCCUACUUUUCUAUCAACAAUUGUGAGUACUUUGUUCAUUAAUCUAUUAACAAGCAUAUCUAUUCAUUGCUCAAUGGUUAUAUGUGUAUACCAUUUACAAAGAAAAUGUAUCCAGCUGCAAAUAAGCCUGUUGAAUACUUACUUUGAAAUCCUAUAGAUUAUUUCCUUUUGCAAAGAUUAGUUAAUGGCUAGGAAAAUUUGAUAAAAUCUGAAUUAAAAAGCUUUGGCAGUGUAAUCAAACAUUUUUCCUACACAAGUUUGUCAAGCAUGCAUAUUUUGACUAUAGAUGCUGUUAUAUAUGUAAACUAUGGAGAUGUUCAUAAAUAGCAAACAGUGACACUAUCCUGAUGGACUUAUAUACGAGGAAUACAAAUAAGAAUAAAAUAAAGUAAAAGAAUUCUCGGAAACUGUCAAGUUGUUAACACUGAGAUGCAAUUAGUCGUCUAGCUUGGUUAAGUUUCCUAUUUCAGUUGGUAUAAUCCCUGUGAAUUUAUUGAGACUUAAGGAUAAUUUCUGAAGCUCUCUACAUCUGCCUAAACUGGAAGGGAUUUGGCCUGUUAACUCAUUACGUACGGUGAAGAAGAAGCUCUGCAAGCAAAGGGAGAUAAUCUUGCUGGGAGGUUCCCUGAUAAUAGCUUAUUUGAAGUGAGAGAAAUGAUUACUAGCAAUGAAGAGAUGUUGAAGAUUCCUGAUGGAAUAGGACCUCUUACGUCGUGUUUCCAAUUUGCAGACUCUCUAAAUUAGGAAGCUCGGCUAGCUCUACUGGUAGUGCACCUGCCAAAUGUUAUUGCAUGAAGAAUUAAUUAGGUAAUAGUGUUGAUAUCUAUCUAUACAUGAAGAAUUAAUUAGGUAAUAGAGUUGAUAUCUAUAGAAACAAGAAUGGGAAAAAUUAUGUAACUUAGCGCUUUGAUUGUAUUUAGUUCAUAUGUUG